rnacentral:tRNA from 1 species
UGUCCAGGGAUGGGAAUCGAACCCACAGUGUUCCGCUUACCGGGCAGAUGCCAUGUCUACUAGGAUACCCUGAC